AUACGGAGGGCGCGAGCGUUGUUCGGAAUCACUGGGCGUAAAGCGGGUGUAGGCGGCCUGUCAAGUCAGAUGUGAAAGCCCACGGCUCAACCGUGGAAGUGCAUCUGAAACUGGCAGGCUUGAGUACCGGAGAGGGAAGUGGAAUUCCUGGUGUAGGGGUGAAAGCCGUAGAUAUCAGGAGGAACACCGGUGGCGAAGGCGACUUCCUGGACGGAUACUGACGCUGAGACCCGAAAGCGUGGGGAGCAAACAGGAUUAGAUACCCUAGUAGUCC
rnacentral:rRNA from 1 species